rfam:Ferroplasma sp. Type II genomic scaffold AMDT4_FER2S00108, whole genome shotgun sequence.
GGGGUUGUAGCUCAGCUAGGUAGAGCGCCUGGCUCAUAACCAGGUGGUCGUCGGUUCAAACCCGGCCAGCCCCA